rnacentral:lncRNA from 1 species
CAAACACUUCUUUACGAAUAGCGGGGUUCAAAUGUCAUAUUUCGCUCCUUUCUUUCUUCCCUCCCAUUUUGACUUUCUUUCCUUUGUGAACGAAAUGGAAAAUAAGCCAGUUUCUUCUCCUUCGAUUUCUUCCUGCAGCCACCGCCACACCGCCACCUUGUGAAUUUUGGGGGCUUCAUAAAAAAGGCCGCCCAAAUCCCUCUCAACCCAAUCCCUCAAAACAUCUCGUUUUACCUAGCGCUAGAGGAAAAAUGGAAGACAGUGUGAGAGAUUGAUUUACAGAAUUUAAAUCAGCAAUUUACCAAACCACUUCCGCCACUGGAAUAGCCCAUGAAUAUUGGUAUGGCUAACUAAUGGUGUAUUCUGCUUGUAUUCUCUGUGUUGAAUGAUUUUUGUUUCUUCUUUUUUUUUUUCGACGACCAAACCCUAGAAUUGGAUCGACGACUCUUUUCCCCCUUCCUUUCCUUUGAAGAAUUCAAAUGAAAUCUUCUUCACUUGACUGAUAGUCAUUUUUUCAUUAAGAUUUAACGGUGUACACUAAAAUGUGCAGAUUGUGUCGGGAGAACUGGAUUGUACAACAGAUUUAGAAAACAAAUGUGGUAUAGCAAAGAUAAAGAAUAUGAUUGCAAAUUCAUGUAAAAUUGGAAGGCUGCUGCUCCAAAUUCUGAGUCGACCCUUUCGUCACAAGCUGCCCUGCUUCAGCUGCAGGCCAUAAACAGUCAAUCAAUUGUUAUUCUGGAUGCCUUCUGCAACUGAUCUUCACAAACUGCCCUGCUCCAGCUGCUGUUGAUGCUUGACAUGGGGAAUGCCAGGAAGGUAUCUAACUACCAUUAAUCUAACUUCUACUGUGUUUUUAAUUCUGUUCAGCCCCCUGUUGGAAAUUUUAACAAGCAGACUUGUACAAGAAAGUACCAAAGAAUGGCAUUAUGUAACUAAAGAUGUCAUAGUAAACAAUUAGUUCAUUUUUUCUUGGUAACAUUGUUAUGUUUUCAUGAACACCAUUUUACCCUCAGAUAUUUAUGCUGGUAUAAUUGCACUUUCUACUUCAGUUCUCUUUAUCUCCAAACUAUUGAAAAUUCUCUUUGUUUCUGUGUUAAGAUAUUGGGAUUUUUUAUGCUAGACAAGCCCCUUCUGCUACGAGAAUCUGUUUGGUGUUGCAUUCGACAUGCAUCCCCAAGCUGAACAUUUAAGAAAGAAGAAACUUCUGUAAUUAUAGAGGAAGAUUACAUUUUUUCUGUAAUUUUGCUUAACAUGAAUGAAACUCACUUUUACAACCUUAUGAUUGAUUUUUGGAGUUCACAACACCAUUGCUGAAAUUCGUGGCUGAGUUUGUGUUAAACAAAGCUCAACGCAUGACUUUCAAUACUUCAUCUCCUAAUGGCAUACUUCCUUUUGGAGAAGUUAGCAAAUUGCUUGUUGCAUAUGGCUCAAGGAUCUUGUCUCUUUCAAAGACUACUGAUAUAUAUGCCUUCAAAUACAAGGGCAUAUGGAUUUCUUUAACUAUUCGUUCUAGAGGUAAAUUUUCUGAAAAAUAUUCUCUCAGACCCAAAUUUUCUUGAUUGACAAUAUGUUAGUUCAAAUAAAUCCUUUGAGUCCAUAACCGUAGCUCUAGUUAAAUUUCUUUGAUUGUAUGUUGAAUCACCCUUUCCAAUUCCACUUAUUCUAUCAUUAUGAUUAUCUGAAUAAGUUGGUUUAUACAAGAUGGACGAUGAUCAACUAUUUAUCUUCAUUGCUUUAUUCUUUUUGUCCUAGGUUCAAAGUGCAAUUGAUGGAUUUCGAGAAAAUGCAAGCAUCCAAAUUUUGCGUGUAUGAUUUUCUUCUUCUGUGUCAUUUGCAAUUGAAAAUGCAAACUCUGGAAGCAAGAAUCUCCUCUCAUCCAUUGAUCGUAAGUUUUCUAGUUUUUUUAAUGCGUGUUUUCAGUUUAAUCUUGGUAUAUAAUCUUUGUUCCAUUUAUGGUGUGCGCGGAAGAGAGAAUAGGAUCAACAGGACAAAAUUAAACUGUAUCUAACUAAGAAAGCCAUGCUGGUUCCUUACAACUUGACCAUGAGGCAUAUAGGAAUCUUUGUUCGAUGAUUGUUACUUGUUGUGGAGAAUUGAGGGAACUGAAGAGUGGACACUACUGCAAAAUUGUGGAAAUCACAGAAAAUGCAGGAAAAUGCCUUAUAGAAGAAUACGUGGUAAGAAAAUUGAAUGUGUGCAUCAAUAUGAGACUAGAUGUUUGUCACUUGGUAUUUAUUUUAAAAAGAUACUUCAGGAUCAAUACGUUUUUCUCUUUAUUUUUGGUUCCAGAACUCCUCAACCUCACCGACUAAAAUAAAGCAUAAGGCAUGCAACAAUUUGACAUCUACUGACCCUGUUACAAGCUGCAAAAUUGGUCCAAAUGCUUGCUUGCCGAUAAAAAAACGUUGUCUACACCUUUAAUUCCAUUUUUUGGUCGAAUAUUUUGUACUAUUUUAGUAAGUUAUUUUUGGAGUAGUAAUCGAUACUUUUGGCACAUUGAUAUCAACCUUUUGAAUAUGCUGAUGAUGUUCUUAGUCAUUUAGAUUAACUCUACAUUUCAGUAUAUUGUAUUUGGUCAUACUUAAUACUUUUAUUUAUUGGAAUUAUGGAAAACAUGAUUAUAUUAUAU